CCUGCUUCUCGGCCUUUUGGCUAAGAUCAAAGUGUAGUAUCUGUUCUUAUCAGCUUAAUGGAGAGUACAUAAUCAGGUUCUUUUUGCAUGGAAGGAAGAACACAGAUUUGGACUUUCUGGGGGUGAAAGUAACAGAGUUACUCCUUUGUUGUUUUAGGCGGCGAGCAGGGAACCCGGUAUUUUUCCAUUGCUGUGGUUAUU
rnacentral:snRNA from 1 species